rnacentral:rRNA from 1 species
GACGAACGCUGGCGGCGUGCUUAACACAUGCAAGUCGAACGGAAAGGCCCCUUUGGGGGUACUCGAGUGGCGAACGGGUGAGUAACACGUGAGUAACCUGCCCUUUACUUCGGGAUAACUUCAGGAAACUGGGGCUAAUACCGGAUAGGAAUCCUUGCUGCAUGGUGGGGGUUGGAAAGCUUCGGCGGUUUUGGAUGGACUCGCGGCUUAUCAGCUUGUUGGUGGGGUAGUGGCUUACCAAGGCUUUGACGGGUAGCCGGCCUGAGAGGGCGACCGGCCACAUUGGGACUGAGAUGCGGCCCAGACUCCUACGGGAGGCAGCAGUGGGGAAUAUUGCACAAUGGGCGGAGGCCGGAUGCAGCAACGCCGCGUGCGGGAUGACGGCCUUCGGGUUGUAAAACGCUUGCAGCAGGGGCGAAGCUUUUGUGACGGUACCUGCAGAAGAAGCACCGGCUAACUACGUG